CUUCGUAUUCACUAAUAACUUUAUAUUCCCUAAUGCUGGAUGGAUUCAAUCUUUAAUUAUAAUUUGGAUCUUGAAAUUGUGGGUAAAAUAUCAAGCUACCGACCUGCCACUCCGACACACUUCUAGAAAGCCAAUGCCCUCUCGUUAGCUGGCUGACGAUCUCCGUGGGCAAUUCAAUUCCCCUCUCCCAUCGAUACGCUGUCAAACGCAAGCAAACCAAUGUUGCCACACUUAAAAUGUGACGUCACAAGCAUUUAAAAUUCUGUGAUGGUGUUAUGUUAUAUUUUAAUAACCAUUGAAAGAAAAUAAUUCUAAAAAUAAUGAAAUAAUAUCUUCCCAUCAAUAAUGGAUUCUAUAAGGGGCGGAACGUCACAUAACAAAUGGAUUAUUUGUAAAAUUAAAAUUUUUUUUGCGUUUUUGCUAAUGUAUGCGUUUAUAAACAGGAUGGUAGACCACACACUAUAAUAGUACCAACUAAUGAAUACACAGUAUGAAUAGUAUAGUCGGUUCGCUAAACUUAGUCUCAGACACAACUGGCUAGUGAUUUUAGUAAAUAAUUUUGACAAUUUGGUAAAAUUGGCAAAAAAAUAAUAACUAAAUAGUAAUUUUGGCAAAAUUGGCCAAAAACAAAAAAAUUACCUACUAAAAUCACUAGCCAGUUGUGUCUAGGGAAACGACUAUACUAAUAAACAAUUUCUAAGCUGCUUUUUAUAAUAUUUUGUGAGUUCAUUAAUCAUAUUUUUUAUUUAAAACUAAAAUUUGUUAAUAAUGCUCAGUAAUGCAUAUAUUUUGUAUUUUUAGCUUUCCAGAAGGCAUGAAGUAUUGAUCAGAUUUGUUAAUAGAGCAGUAUGUUCAAAACAUUUUUUAGAAAAAGAUAUUGACAGAACUUCACUUUAAACUAUUCGUUUGAGAGACUGUGCUGUUCCAAUAGCUUAUAUCACACAGAAUCAGCUGAGAGAAGUGGUCUACAAAAAACCAGGAAGGAAAUGGAAUAUGUGGCUAUGAAAGGCAAAAGAAAGGUUUACAAAGAAAAUGUGACACAUUUUUAUAGGAAUAUCAGUAAAUUACAUUAAAAAAAUGUAUGAAAAGAUUUUUUGCAAUAAAAAUGUUUAUAUUUA